rnacentral:rRNA from 1 species
CCUACGGGGGGCAGCAGUGGGGAAUAUUGCACAAUGGGGGAAACCCUGAUGCAGCGACGCCGCGUGAGUGAAGAAGUAUUUCGGUAUGUAAAGCUCUAUCAGCAGGGAAGAAAAAAGACGGUACCUGACUAAGAAGCCCCGGCUAACUACGUGCCAGCAGCCGCGGUAAUACGUAGGGGGCAAGCGUUAUCCGGAUUUACUGGGUGUAAAGGGAGCGUAGACGGUAUGGCAAGUCUGAAGUGAAAGCCCAGGGCUUAACCCUGGGACUGCUUUGGAAACUGUGCGGCUGGAGUGCAGGAGGGGUAAGCGGAAUUCCUAGUGUAGCGGUGAAAUGCGUAGAUAUUAGGAGGAACACCGGUGGCGAAGGCGGCUUACUGGACUGUAACUGACGUUGAGGCUCGAAAGCGUGGGGAGCAAACAGGAUUAGAUACCCUUGUAGUC